rnacentral:rRNA from 1 species
GUAGGGUGCGAGCGUUAAUCGGAAUUACUGGGCGUAAAGCGUGCGCAGGCGGCGGCUCAAGUCAGGUGUGAAAUCCCCGGGCUUAACCUGGGAAUUGCGCUUGAAACUAGGUCGCUAGAGUGUGGCAGAGGGGGGUGGAAUUCCACGUGUAGCAGUGAAAUGCGUAGAGAUGUGGAGGAACACCGAUGGCGAAGGCAGCCCCCUGGGUCAACACUGACGCUCAGGCACGAAAGCGUGGGGAGCAAACAGGAUUAGAUACCCUGGUAGUCCACGCCCUAAACGAUGCGAACUAGGUGUUGGGGAAGGAGACUUCCUUAGUACCGCAGCUAACGCGUGAAGUUCGCCGCCUGGGGAGUACGGUCGCAAGAUUA